AGUGACAGGUCAUGAAAGAUAAAGCUACAGACCCACUGGAGAUGUGGGCCAGCCGAAGUUUCAACCAGAUGUCGCCAGAGUGGCCAGUCUCCCCCAGGCAAAGCAAAGCAAAGCGAUAGUUCCUGGACAACUCCUUUCGUGGUGGACUUCCUGAGGCCCUCUGCGCCGGCUCCCAGCUCUACAGAGCUUGUUCCUGGGGACCAGUUACUCCAGGCUUUGGAUCUCCCCACCUCAAUAGUUCGCAGGGAAGUUCUCCAUCAUUCCACUGGGGCCAGGCCUUGGGUUCCACUCCAGAAGCCCCGAAGCACCCUUCCUCCUGUCCAGAGUCCUCUCUCCUACCUACUUGGGCUUAGGCUCAGCCCACAUGUGGGCUGGGAGGGGAUGGAAGAGACAGGUGGGCCCCUAGAUGCACUGGCUGGAUUGCAGACAUAUUUAUGCUCCAUUUCUAAUGUCUGGUCCUUCCUGUGGUCCCACUGAUGGGGGAACAGAAAGGAAACAGGAGGGGGCUGGGGUGACAGGCACAGCCCACUAGGCUGCCCUCCUCUGCCUCACCCUCCCUCGCCUGGGCCCCAGCUGAGCCCAUCAUCAGAGGCCUCCAGGAGCUGGGGCCACAGUCUGCGUGGGUCUGCCCCUCCCCUCACCCCAGCCUAGAAGACUCCACCUCUCCCAGGUCCUGGCUGGGAUCCGAAGGCCCCGGGCAAGUGGGGGAAGGGGAGCCACUCCUACUUUCCCAGCAGCUGCUGCUGCCUCUUCCUGUUUUGCUAAAACUUUGGCUCCGGACCCAAGGGGGUGGGGGAAAGUCGCCAGGCGCUCUCGCCCCCCCCCAAAGGUCAAACUCAUCCCCCUGGUCCUCUUAGCUAGUUAUUUAUAGCUCCCCAGGCCCUGGCUGAGGAGCUACAUCUCUCCUCCCCCAAAUGUCAGCAGCUGUGGCCAUUGCCCCAGGGAUGCAGCCAGAUGUGCUGAUCACUCCAGAUGCGCAGUGCCAGGAUUUGGGAGCGCAGGCCAGGCCCUUUCUCCUGGACAUUCCCUGCUGCCUGGUUCAUCCUCCACUCUGAGUCAACAAACCUGAGUCCUGGGGGAUGGGGGGACAUCAGGAAGUUCCCACCUAUUUUCUCCACUCCCAUAGCCUGAUCCCAAGACGGGACAGCUCGGGCUAUAGACCCACGUGGAUGUCUUUGCAUAAAUUAGGACAGGACUCAUUUGGAGACUGGAUUUGUAGAAGUCAGCUGCAGUUCAGAGGGACAGAAGCGUCAGGAUGCUGGAUGCUGUCUUCUUACUAACGUCAGCACGGAGAUCCACUCCUGAGAGUCCAGCGUCCAAAGAGCAGGCUCUGCGAUUCUUUUCUUUGGCUACAUCCUGCUCUCCAGGAGAUGAUGAAUUCCCCAGGGAGAGGACUGCAGCUUCCUUUGCCUCUGUGCCAGGAAGUUGCUCAACAAAUAAGAGAUUAUACGUAAUGAAAAAGAGUUGAAGUCAGUGGUGGUCACGUGUGGGUGGAUCCUUCAAGGUUGUAGCAAGGGGAGAAGUCCAAACCCAUCCUAAAAGACACUCCUGGCAAAGAGAGUGUCAGGACCUCCUCAAACGCUUGCCUAGAGAUUCCAAGGCCUGAGAAGGUCCUGCUGCGGCCUGUUGCAAGGCUGAACUCCCGAGCCCACCAGUGGGUGGACCACAGCAUCCCUGCAGGGGCCACUGGAGCACGUAAUUGUGAGCUGGCUACAGAAAGGCAUUUUGCAACUCAGACGAAUUUCUUCUCGCUCAUGAUUAGGGUAUGGCCCAGUGGCUGCCUCCCUGACUGUAAUCUCUGCUGGCACAGGCAUCUCCGGGGCUGGGCAGUGGGGGCUGUGGAAGGAGGGCUGACCUAGAAGCCUGGACGCCGGAGUUCUCUGCCCGCUCCUCGCCAGGGAUUAACCAUGGCAUGGCUGGCAGGGAGACUGGGUUCUCAGUUUCCUCAUCUGUAAAAGGAGUGAUGUGAUUAGAUUAGAGCGGCCCAAACCUAACCACACCUUAGGAUUACCUGGGGAGCUUCAGAUUACUAGGUACUCCCUUCACCCCUUGCAUCUGCUGGGGGCUGUGAGAUGGCCCAGGAAUCUGUUUUUCACAGGCUCUUCUACAUGAUUUUUUUGGGGCCACACCCACAGCCUGUGGAAGUUCUGGGGCCAGGGAUCGAACCUGCGACCCUAGCCACUGCAGUGACAAUGCCGGAUUCUUAACCUGCUGAGCCACAGGGAAACUCCUACAGGAUUUUGACAUAAUGUCAAGUAUGGGGGAUCCUACAGACUAUAAAUAUAAAUAGACUGUAAAUAUAAAUCACUUGCAGCUCUUAGGAGAAAAGAUUCUAGUAAAUGGAAUGGCUGUAACAAGAGGCUUUGGUGCUGUGGGGUUUUAUCAGAGGGCAAAUGGUGGGUAGUUUAUUUCAUCAUCAUCAUCACCAUCAAUUACUAUUUUUUCCAGGCCUUUUUUGGCUGCACCUGCAGCAUGCAAAAGCAUGCGGGGCCAGGGAUCAAACCAGCACCCCCGUGGUGACAACACCAGAUCCUUAACCCGCUGCACCACCAGGGAACCCCUCCAGUUUUAUUGAGAUAUAAUUGACCUACAUCACUGUGUAAGGUGUACAGCGCAAUUUGAUUUACAUACAUCAGGAAAGGGUUAUCAGACUAAGUUUAGUAAAUAUGUAUCAACUCAUAUAGAUACAAAAUUAAAGAAAUGGAAACACCCUUUUCUUCCUGCGAGCAGAGGACUCAGGAUUGAGGCCCUCGCUUACCUCAAGGCUGGAGCCGGGCUGGGAGAGAAGGGAAGGGAGGAAUGGGCCGUCCCUGUAGGUGGGGCCUCUUGGCACGGGGACCUUUCUCUCUCACUCUCCUGGGUGGAGUUUGGCUGCACGGGCUUUGGCACCAGCCUCUGGAGCUGAGAGAGUGUCUUCCCAUCCGUAUUCCUCCCCCACUUCGGUUUCAGCCCAGAGGACAGCCCCCUUCUCCUCCUCCUGCCCUGACUUCCUCCCCAGGCUCCCUCACCAACCUCAUUCCUAAGCCUCGCUAAUCUGUUUGCCACCCUCUGCUUCCUUGCCUCGCCCUUGCUCAUGCCAUUCUCUCCACCUGGAAUGUCACCCCCGCCCCCCAACACCGAUUCACAUUUCUGGGCUCCUUCGAAACCCAGCUCCAGACUGGCUGACGUCGUUGGAGCUGUGAUCUGCCCAGGUCGCUCCUCUUCACGAUAGACUCAUUUAUGCUUGAAAUCACAGAAUCAGAGAACAGCUUUAGACUCAGAAAGAAAUAAGUACAGAUGACCUAAACCAGCUCUCGCAUUCAAUGGACAGAAACCCUGAGGCCCAGAGAGGUCUUGACUCGGCCAAGGUCACACAGUCGUGAGGUUUGCUGGUGGUGGUGGUGGCGGCGAACAGUUGGCUUCACAAGAGGCUUUCAAGUAUCCUACGUCUUUGUUUUAUUUCCUCGACACGUGGUGAUGCCUAUGAGGGCAGAGGUGAUGUUGCUGUUUUAAUUGGUGUUCUUAAGCUCCACGGUGCUGUGUAUGUGCAGGCAACUGUAAUAGUUCUAAAACUCGCAGGGGUGCACAUUUUGCAUAUGAUCUCAGACCAGCCCUGAGCGGUAGGUCACCAAGGCAUUGCUAUCUUACUGAGCAGGAAACUGAGACUUAGAAAGGUGUGACCCAGGAAGUUAAUGGCAGAACCGGGGCCAAAACGCAAGUUCCCUGCCUCCCAGCCUCAGCCCAGGACCCUGACACCCAUGAUGCUGUUCUUCUAGAGCCUUCCUGAGGUUCCCGGCAGGGGACCUAGAGUAGUCAAAGGGGUGGCCUCCGCCGUCUUUCGCCUUCCUUGUGAUUUCUUCACUUUGGGGUUGAGCAGACCUUGCCUCUGGCCUCCUACCCCUCCCCAUCCUGUCCCACCGCGUUCUCCUUGUGUCCCCCCACAGCCUGUUGGCACAUUGACCCAUACGCAUACAUGCUCAGAGCUGCAGGUGUCUAGGGCAACAGACCACAGGGGAAACCACAUCACCUUUGUUGACACUGGAGGGAGGCAGGGGGGCCGGGAAAGAACCUGCUUACGUCUCUCCACCUGCCUCUGUCCCCGCAGUCAUCUCACCUCCCAGCCUGGUGGGUCAUCUGGACUUGACCCAUGGCCCAGCCUCUUCCUGAGGACCCAUCCAAACCUGGCCCGGGAGGAUGUAUCGCCCCUUCUCACAGAUCCUGAAAUCCUGGAGGGAGGUGGGGCGGUCUGCCUAGCUGCACCCCAAAGCCACACCCCCAAUCCUAGCCAGUUUACUGACCUAGCUCCUCUGAUUCCACCUGCGCAGUGCAGCAGACAAAGGUGGAAACCAGGAAUGAGAGGACAUGGCUGGGGGUCGGUAAGGAAGGAAAUUUGACAUCUAGGCCAUCACUCCUACAUCAAAGGGGACCGCUAGGGAGUUCCUGUCGUGGCUCAGCGGUUAAUGAACCCAACUGGCAUCCAUGAGGACGCAGGUUCGGUCCCUGGCCUCGCUCUGUGGGUUAAGGAUCAGGUGUUGCCGUGAGCUGUGGUUUAGGCCGGUGGCUACAGCUCCAAUUAGACCCCUAGUCUGGGAACCUCCACACGCCGCAGGUGCGGCCCUAAAAAGACAAAAAGACACCAAAAAAAGGUGGAGGGGGGACCUCUAGUAACCAGGCUACACGGGAUCUGUGGUGUUUGGACCUGCUGAAAGAAGCUGCACAGGCUCUGAAUCAGGCCCAUUUGGGAUUAAGUCACUUGCUGGCUCUGUGGCCUUGGGCAAAUCAUUUUGUGUUUCUGAGCUUUAGUUUGCUAACUAAAACAAUGGGGAUAAUAAUGAGAUAUAAGUGAAAGGUCCUGGAACAGCACAGGAUACCAAGGAGACGCUCAAUAAAUCCUAAUUACCCUCCCUCCCUCCUUUCCUUCCACUUGUUGCAUCUGGCUCCAUGAAACCCUUUAUUUGGAAUUGGAGCUCUACCUCCCCUAUUUACGUGCAAGUCCAAACCCUGAGCAUUGGCAUCUGAUCCCAGGUUCAGAAACAGGAAUGCACAUCCCCACAGCCCAAGGAAGUGGCUGUCCCUCGGAGAGUGCACCCAGGCCAAGGACGAACACCUUCUGAUCGGCCUUGUGGAGAGGGUGUGAGAAGUCCAGGUUAGGAAAGGGCUUGUGGCUUCAGACACCACAUCGAGAAAGCGGGUCAGGAAUGGUCUCAGAGGCCUGCGGUUUAGACCGAUGCCUUCGGAUGGAGCUUUGAACCCUGGCACAAGGUGGGCGCCCAAUAACACUUGUUGAAUGAACGCAUGGCCUCAGCACUUACUAGUUGUGUAACGUUGGUCAUGUUUCUCAACUUUUAUGAGUCGCACUUUAAUCACAAACAUAACAAGGAUUACUGCUAAGAAUAAAUGAUCUCAUGUUUGCCAGGGGGCUGGCAUAGGGCUGCUGCAUGGCACACAGUCAGUAAAUGGUAGCUAAGUAAGGGGAUGUGAGAUAAACGAGAAAGAGAAGGUCAAAGAGGCUCAGAACCCCAAAGCAAGCGGAAGGUGGCUGCCUUCAGGCUUCGUACUGGCCAGAGACUCCAAGAAGACUCUGGGGAGCCAAGGCAGGUCCUGUGGGGCUAAUCUCUUCUGCUAGGUGCUUAGCUGAGCAGUCUGUGAGAGGCCUGGACUCAAGAGC
rnacentral:lncRNA from 1 species